GGGUGUAGCUCAGUUGGUAGAGCAGCGGUCUCCAAAACCGCGUGUCGUGGGUUCAAGUCCUGCCGCCC
rnacentral:tRNA from 1 species